AGUUUCAAUUUGGCAGUGGCUCAAGGUGACAGUAACAGAUGCCUUUAUUUUUCUAACCUAUCUGUUUGUCACCAGCAUUGAGAGGGAUGGGGAGAGUUGCUGAGAUCUCUGUAAAGGAAUAUGGGCGGCAGUAAGCUGGGAGCUACCCUGCAGAAAUGGUAGGCUUUGAGGAGGAUGGAGGAAGGACUUUUUGUGCAAGUGCAUUAAGUCAUUUUAGUGCCUAAGGUGAUUUUUCUUAUUCUCUUUCCAUCCCCCAGAGUUACCUUCUUACCCAGUCUGUCUUCAGCGCCAAGCAAGGGCUCCCUGUGACUCUCUUCUGUCUUGUGGUUGGGUCUCUGCCCACUCCUCACCUGUCUGCAGCUCUCUCUACCCCAUCCCACCAUGCAGGU
rnacentral:lncRNA from 1 species